CACAGUGAAUGAGUGGAGGGAGAGAAGAGAGAGGGCCCUCCCCAUGAGGGCAGGCCCACCAUACGCCCACAGUGGCUGCUUAUAGAACUCACAGCAACAGCUAACGUCCAUUAUGUGUGUACUGGGCGCCAGCUGCUGUGCUAAACACAAACCUAUGGGGAGAGUCAAGCUCCAGGAGUUGGUGAUGGACAGGGAAGCCUGGCAUGCUGCAGUCCAUGGGGUCACAGAGUCAGACACGACUGAGCGACUGAACUGAACUGCACAGGCCUACCAGGCUCCUCUGUCCAUGGGAUUUCACUGGCAAGAAUACUGGAGUGGGUUGCCAUUUCCUCCUCCAGAGGAUCUUCCCGACUCAGGGAUUAAACCUGCAUCUCCUGCAUUGGCAGGGCAACAACACUGGCCAGGACCUUAGAGGACAUUUGUGAAGCUUAAAGGAGCUGCUCCCGUGCAGAUCCCAGAGGGCUUCCGACUGAUGACUGCCACUAUCACUAUCAUGAUGCUGCUGCGUGGGCAGGACUAUGCUCUGACUCCAAGAUUCCCCUUCAAGGAAAAUAGGGCCCACAGGUGGAAUUCUGGGGGUUGGGGGGAGUAGU